rnacentral:rRNA from 1 species
AGAGUUUGAUCCUGGCUCAGAUUGAACGCUGGCGGCAGGCCUAAGACAUGCAAGUCGAGCGGWUGACGGGAGCUUGCUCCCUGAUUCAGCGGCGGACGGGUGAGUAAUGCCUAGGAAUCUGCCUGGUAGUGGGGGACAACGUUUCGAAAGGAACGCUAAUACCGCAUACGUCCUACGGGAGAAAGCAGGGGACCUUCGGGCCUUGCGCUAUCAGAUGAGCCUAGGUCGGAUUAGCUAGUUGGUGAGGUAAUGGCUCACCAAGGCGACGAUCCGUAACUGGUCUGAGAGGAUGAUCAGUCACACUGGAACUGAGACACGGUCCAGACUCCUACGGGAGGCAGCAGUGGGGAAUAUUGGACAAUGGGCGAAAGCCUGAUCCAGCCAUGCCGCGUGUGUGAAGAAGGUCUUCGGAUUGUAAAGCACUUUAAGUUGGGAGGAAGGGCAUUAACCUAAUACGUUAGUGUUUUGACGUUACCGACAGAAUAAGCACCGGCUAACUCUGUGCCAGCAGCCGCGGUAAUAC